AUCGCUUCUCGGCCUUUUGGCUAAGAUCAAAGUGUAGUAUCUGUUCUUAUCAGCUUAAUAUCUGAUACGGGGACCAUGUGUCCCCUUCGAUAUUAAACUUAUUUUUGUUAGGGGAUGAAGUUAAGGAGCUUGCUCCGGCUUUAUCAUGGGUUGGCCUAGUAUUGCAGUACCACUAGGAUCGGCCCACUUCCC
rnacentral:snRNA from 1 species